CAAAAAUACCAACCCCACAUUUAAAUGUAUUGUUUUUUAUUUUAGAUGUACACAAUAAACUAGUAUUCAGUGACAACUAAGAGCAAGGAAUGUGCUGGUCGCUUUAUCCAGAACUUCAUAAUGCCUAGCCAAAGAGGUGAAAGCCUUCUACAAUGGAUAUUAUAAAACAUUGAAGAAAAAAAAAUUGAAAAAGACACCAAGAAGAUGAAAAGACCUCCAUGUUCAUGGAUAGGUAGAAUUAAUAGUGUUAAAAUGGCCAUAUUACUAAAAAGGGAUCUACAGAUUCAACACAAUUCCCAUCAAAAUACCAAUGAUUUUUUUCACAGAGCUAGAAAAUACAAUCCUAGGGCUGGGGUUGUGGCUUAGCAGUAGAGUGUUCACCUAGCAUGUGCGAGGCCCUGGGUUCGAUCCUCAGCACCACAUAAAAAUCAAUAAAAAAAUAAAGAUAUUAAAAAAUGUAUAUAAAAAAUACAAUACUAAAAUUUAUAUAGAAAGACAAAAGACCUAGAAUAACCAAAGUAAUCCUGAGCAAAAAGAGCAAUGCCAGAGGCAUCACAAUACCCCUCGACCAAUGGAACAGAAUAGAUGACACAGAGAAAAAUCCACUCAGCUACAGUUAUCUGAUUCUUAACAAGGUGCCAAAAACAUGGAUUGGAGAAAGGACAACCUCUUUAACAACUGGUGCAUGGAAAACCAGAUAUCCAUAUGUAGAAGAAUAAAACUAGAUCCCUAUCUCUCAACCUGCACAAAAGUUAACUCAAAAAGGAUCAAAGACCUAGGAAUGAAACCAGAAACUUUGCUAAGAAGAAAACAUAGGAUGAACAUUUCAAUGUAAAAGCAUGGGUAAUGACUUCCUCAACAGGAGUUCUAAUGCUCAGGAAAUAAUACCAAGGAAACAAUUAUAUGAAAAAAUGUUCCACAUCUUUAGCCAUCAGGGAAAUACAAAUCAAAGCUACACUGAGACAAAAACUGCUAUACUGAGAUUUCAUCUCCAAUUCGAAUGGCAAUCAUCAAAAUAACUGUACCAUGUACAGCCAGAGGAAGAAGUUGUGCUCCAUUUGUGUACAAUGUGUCAAAAUGCAUUCUUUUAUGAUGUAUAACUAGUUAGAGCAAAUUAAAGAACUAUAAUGCAAUAAAAUAAGACAUUUUUUAAAAAAGAAUAUAAAUCACAAUAAAUUUUGGCAAUGACGCAGGGAAAAAGGGACUCUGUACACUGUUGGUGGGACUAUAAAUUGGUACAGUAACUAUGGAAAUCAGUUUGGAGGUACCAUAUGAUUCAGGCAUACCACACCUUGGUAUUUAUCCAAAAGGGUUAAAGCCAUUGUACUUUACAGAUAACUUCAUAACUAUGUUUAUCAAAGCACAACUCACAAUAGCCAGGUUAUAGAAUCAGCCUAGGUAUCCAUCACCAGAUGAAUGGAUAAAGAAAAUGUGAAUAUACAUAUUUACAUCACAUUUAGUCAGCCAUGAAGGAGAAUGAGUUUAUGUUAUUUGCGGGAAAUGGAUGAAACUGGAAAUCAUAAUGUUCAGUGAAACAAGUGAGAUUCAGAGAGAAAAUCAUUAUGCUUUCUCUCGUAUAUGGAAGCUAGAGGGGGAAAAACAGGGAAAAAAGACUCAAUGAAAAUAGAAGGGAGAUUUUUAAGGUAGAGGAAGGGGAUAAAGGGGGAGGGAAGUAUUGGAGAGCGAAAUUGGAUCAGAUUAUGGUUUUAAGGUAUGUACAAAUAUGCCACAAUGAAACCCACCAUUCUGUAUAAUU
rnacentral:lncRNA from 1 species